rnacentral:rRNA from 1 species
AAUUGGAAUGAUGGGAAUUUAAACCUCUUCCAGAGUAUCAAUUGGAGGGCAAGUCUGGUGCCAGCAGCCGCGGUAAUUCCAGCUCCAAUAGCGUAUAUUAAAAUUGUUGCAGUUAAAAAGCUCGUAGUUGAAUUUCUGCUGCAUCGUCGCAUCUCUUGCUGAGUGCUUCGUUUCGGCUUAUUUCGGAUUGAUUUUUUCUUUCCGGAUGAUUACUUUGAGAAAAUUAGAGUGCUCAAAGCAGGCUUUUGCCUUGAAUAGUUUAGCAUGGAAUAAUAAAGUAGGACUUUGGUUCUAUUUUGUUGGUUUUAGGUACCAAAGUAAUGGUUAAUAGGAACAGUUGGGGGCAUUCGUAUUUAACUGUCAGAGGUGAAAUUCUUAGAUUUGUUAAAGACGAACUACUGCGAAAGCAUUUGCCAAGGAUGUUUUCAUUAAUCAAGAACGAAAGUUAGGGGAUCGAAGACGAUCMGAUACCGUCGUAGUCCUACCC